rnacentral:rRNA from 1 species
UACAGAGGGUGCGAGCGUUGUCCGGAAUCACUGGGCGUAAAGGGCGCGUAGGUGGCGCUCCAAGUCCGUGGUGAAAGCUCGAUGCUCAACAUCGAGUCGGCCACGGAGACUGGAGGGCUCGAGCACUGUAGGGGCAGAUGGAAUUCCGGGUGUAGCGGUGGAAUGCGUAGAGAUCCGGAAGAACACCGGUGGCGAAGGCGGUCUGCUGGGCAGUGCUGACACUGAGGCGCGACAGCGUGGGGAGCA